rnacentral:rRNA from 1 species
CCUACGGGAGGCAGCAGUAGGGAAUAUUGGGCAAUGGAGGCAACUCUGACCCAGCCAUGCCGCGUGCAGGAUGAAGGCGUUAUGCGUUGUAAACUGCUUUUAUAUAGGAAGAAAUAGACCUUGCGAGGUAAGUUGACGGUACUAUAUGAAUAAGCACCGGCUAACUCCGUGCCAGCAGCCGCGGUAAUACGGAGGGUGCAAGCGUUGUCCGGAUUUAUUGGGUUUAAAGGGUGCGUAGGCGGUUUAUUAAGUCAGUGGUGAAAGACGGUCGCUCAACGAUUGCAGUGCCAUUGAUACUGGUAGACUUGAGUGUGAUUGAGGUAGCUGGAAUGGAUAGUGUAGCGGUGAAAUGCAUAGAUAUUAUCCAGAACACCAAUUGCGUAGGCAAGUUACUAAGUCACAACUGACGCUGAGGCACGAAAGUGUGGGUAUCAAACAGGAUUAGAUACCCUGGUAGUCCACACUGUAAACGAUGAUAACUAACUGUUGGCUUUUGGGUCUAGUGUAGAGAGAAAGUAGUUAAGUUAGUACACCGUGGGUAGGUACGCGGCGAACGUUAGAAACGUAACGAANAGAGUUAGACGGACGNGAGAGNGCGACGGACGACGACGAGGGAGGAGGAG